GGGUGGGUUGGAGAUAUGGUGAACGCGGAAGAAGGGGUGGGAGGAGCGAGGCACAAUCAUGAACUCAUGCUGGAACAUUUUCGCCAUGAUGUUAGAAAUGUACCGCUUUGGAGUUUUAACAUGAGACGUCACUAUCUGAUUUCAUGUGGUCACCUGAUUUCAUUUUCGCCAUGAUGUUAGAAAUGUACCGCUUUAUUUCUCCAUAUCUAUCAAAAGUUGCAUCUAGAUAAAACAUGGUCACUCGGUUAGUUGUAUUUUUUUUUUUAAAAACUCUUGUUUCGUCGCACACACGGGUAAGAAUAGCCAUUGGUGAAAGAAGCAAAAACUCGUUGUCUGGUCAAAGAUGAUAGUGCAUUGCUCUACAUGAGCACAUUAUUCCGUAGCAACGCAUGGGCAUUGCGCUAGUUUCAAACUCAUUUAGUACUGAUCAUGUUUGAAUUUUGGCAGAUUUGAAUUCGAAUUUGAGAUAUUUG
rnacentral:lncRNA from 1 species